CAUCAGGGACAUUUGAGUCGGUUGGUUCAACGGAGUUGCAGAAUACAGGCAAGGCAGGGCUUAUCACAAUUCAAGGCAAGAUCUCAGCUGUCUUAGGAACAGUGCUCGUCUGUGCUUUGUUGUUCAUAACGUUCUUCCCAGACCAAGCAGAGAAGCUGUUUCCUUCAAACUAAAGACAAGAGAACAAUUAUGAUUGAUUCAGAGAAGUUUUCAGAGUUUCAACCUGUUUGUAUGUAGAUGCUUAAAAGAACACAAAAAUCUUUAAAUUAUUUGAAUUUUUGAAGUAGUUACAAAAACAUAUGGCAUUGAACAAAGUUGUUA